ensembl:lncRNA
AAAGUGUAUACAUGUAUGUAGAAGGGGUUUUAGAAGGUGCAUAAACGUGCGUGGACGGUGUGUAAAGGUGCGUGGACGGUGUGUGGACGGUGUGUAAAGGUGCGUGGACGGUUUGUAAAGGUGUGCAGGUGUGUAAAUGUGUAUAAAGGUGUGUAGAAGGUGUGUACAUGAGAGGAUGUAUGGGUCACGGGUCUCUUGGCUAACAGUGAGACGGUGGUGUAUAAUAGCAGCAUGGGAGCGAGAGGUGAGCUAACAGCAUUUUGAGUCUGCAGGAAGAAGAGAGUGAUGCAAUUAGAGAGAAAUGAUGAGGCAAAAGACGAGAGAAAACGGAAAGAGCAAUGCUGCUACAGCUCCCGAUCAGAUGGGAUGAAGAGGAAUAAAAUACGAGACGGCAGAUCAUUAGCGGAUCAUCAUCCAGCAGUUAAUGACGCAAUCAGGUUUAAUAACAAUCACAUAGCCAAAUAAGGAGGAAGCCUGCCGUGAACAUCUACACAACAGAAGAGUGAACAACAUCUACACAACAGGAGAGUGAACAACAUCUACACAACAGGAGAGUGAACAACAUCUACACAACAGAAGAGUAAACAACAUCUACACAACAGAAGAGUGG